rnacentral:rRNA from 1 species
UACGUAGGGGGGCAAGCGUUGUCCGGAAUUAUUGGGCGUAAAGAGCGCGUAGGCGGUCCGAUAAGUCGGCUGUGAAAGUCAGGGGCUCAACCCUUGGAAGCCGGCCGAUACUGUCGGACUAGAGUCCGGAAGAGGCAAGUGGAAUUCCCGGUGUAGCGGUGAAAUGCGCAGAUAUCGGGAGGAACACCAAUGGCGAAGGCAGCUUGCUGGGACGGUACUGACGCUGAGGCGCGAAAGCGUGGGGAGCAAACAGG